CUGAUUUAAGAUUUAAAAUGAAUACAGGUAGUUUCCACAAGAGCGGAUUGGCCGAUGGCGAUACGGCAGUGGGACAUAUUGGGUCUAAACACCCCUUGAAUACAGACGGCACGUUAUGCUGCAUUCACAGUGGACUCUGAAGCUUUUUGCCCCAGAAAAAGCGAGUACUCAGAUGAAACGCAAAGCGCUUUAUCAGUGAUUGAUGUUUUUCCAUAUUACACUACGUUUCUUUUUCUUUUUCCAC